CAUCCAGCUCUUUUCCAGAGGCACUUUGGACCCGGCUCUGGGAUGGAUUCACCCCUUGGGCUGCUCAGGAGGGCAGAUGGGAACACUGGGAACACCCAGGUUGUGAUCCCAGCAAACUGCCUUUAUCCAGCACUCUGGGAACCCUGGCUGGGGCUCAGCUGCUCCCAGCCCUCCUGUGUCCAUAAACCCCCUCCCUGGGAGCAAACAGCUCUUUUCCAGCUGUGCAUAAACGUGGAAUUAUCCUUUAUUUUUCUGAGGAGCACACAAAGCAACUCCGAGCUCGUUCUGCUGAGUGGAGCUGCUUUCCUGUGCAGGAGGUGCAGCUCCUCACCCCUUUCCCAGCCAGGACUGGGUUAGUGCUCCUCGGAUGGAGUUGGCUCAGCCUGAAGUGAGAGGCCCCUGGUUGAUGUGAAAACCCCACUCAUCACAGGAGGAGGAGCCCAACCAAACAGAGAUGCCUUGGAAUUGUUGCCUCUCCCAGCCAGCAGGAAUGAACUUGGUCGCUGUGGGGCUCAAAUUUAACCCCCCUCCUGUCACCUCUGGCACUGGCACUGCUCCAGGGAAGUGGCCACUGGAGAAUUGAGUCCCUCUGACACGGAAACAAGACUUUUCCAGCUCUGG